GACGAACGCUGGCGGCGUGCUUAACACAUGCAAGUCGAACGGAAAGGCCCUGCUUUUGUGGGGUGCUCGAGUGGCGAACGGGUGAGUAACACGUGAGUAACCUGCCCUUGACUUUGGGAUAACUUCAGGAAACUGGGGCUAAUACCGGAUAGGAGCUCCUGCUGCAUGGUGGGGGUUGGAAAGUUUCGGCGGUUGGGGAUGGACUCGCGGCUUAUCCGCUUGUUGGUGGGGUAGUGGCUUACCAAGGCUUUGACGGGUAGCCGGCCUGAGAGGGGGACCGGCCACAUUGCGACUGAGAUACGGCCCAGACUCCUACGGGAGGCAACAGUGGGGAAUAUUGCACAAUGAGCGGAAGCGUGAUGCAGCAGCGCCGCGUGCGGAAUGACGGCCUUUGGGUUGUGAACCGCUUUCGCCUGUGACGAAGCGUGAGUGACGGUAAUGGGUAAAGAAGCACCGGCUAACUACGUG
rnacentral:rRNA from 1 species